GGCCGGAUCUUGCUAGUGCCAACAAGAAGAUUAAGGAAUUAGAGCGCCGCUAAGUUAUCUAGAUUAGACCUUGAGGCAAUGCAUCUUAGUCAUUUAUCUUUAAAUUUGGUUUAGGUUUACUAUUAUUAUCAGUUUGCUACUAUCGUCAGUUUACUACUAGUCUUUUGUAAUAAAUGCCUCAAGAUUAAUAAAGAGUAUUAUUAUUAUUAUUAUUAUGUCUUGUGUGUCUCUACUUUAUUUUUGUGCAAGAAAGCAGAAAACAAGUAUGGGGGAGAUCCCUCAACAUGCCAAACACACUCUGACUACAUCACUCCACGAUUCAGGUACACACUCUGCACACUUUACUUUACACAUACAUAUAUUUUAGAUUAUGCAGAAUACCGUUUCCGACAUGAUAAAUUAAAAAGAUUAAAAUAUUUCUAAUCAUGAUUAAUCUCACUCUGUUAUAUUUCCUGAAACUUGCAAUUAUUAUAAAAUCAUUUUAAAACCCUGUGUUACUUAAGUCAAUAUGGAAUGUGAGAUGGUACAAUAUGAGUUUCUUAUUCUUGAUAUCAUUGUUGCUUGGAGAAUUUAUUUCAAAAAUCUUUAAAAUUCUAGCUACCAUCCUCAGUGUUUUAUAUGCCUGAUAAAAACUGAAAAUAUUAAUUAUGAUUAUAAAAGCUAUCUACUCUGUAUUGAGUUUGUUCAAAAUGAGUUAGACCCUUGUUGAGAGAUUGAUCAUGCUCCUAAGAUCAAGACAUUUAUUCAGAAAGAUUCACUCUUCCGAAGUAUUAUUGCAUUAGAGGCAUGGGCUAUGCAAAAAUAGAAAUAUUUCGAGGAAAUAAAAAGGAGCAAGUGCUCGACAACCUCGCAGAAAAAUGGACAAGUGUCCAACAGUAGAAUUUGGGAUACCUCGGUAUCCACUUAAAAAAAAGAGAAAAGAGAAAAAAGAGAAAAUGAUAGCCCAUGGUCCCUCUAAUAAGCAAUAUGCCAGCAAGAGUUGACAAAGAUUUUAAUUUCCAAAGUCUUUGAUCUAAGAGUAUGACAUUCCCCUCCUCGGAUCCCGUUUUGAUCAGGCAAUAAAUGCAAAGUAAGUAUGCUUGAGAAUUUUUGCAAAUUAAAACAACCUCAGUGAGAUAUAUAAAAGAUAAUGAGUGAUCUGAGAAGAACCUAUGAGGAUAAAAAGGUAUGCUAACUUUCUUUCAAAAAUAUACAGAAGCUCCAAGUGACAGGAUUGAGAAGAAAGGAUCUUUACUCUUAACCAUAUACUUCCUUGACUAUGGUACACAGUGGAUUUUUAACACCCUGCAAUUAUAAAAAGAAUGUUUUAAAUGUUUACCCCAAAUAUUGUUCUUAACCAUCCUUUUCUCGAGGACGAGUAAAAGCCUAAGUAUGGGGGUAUUUGUCGACGGUUCUUAAGUAUCAAUUUUAAUUAUCAAAUAAACAAGAGAAAGGACCAAUAUGCAAACAACACCUAGAAUUAGGGUUUGAUCUGACAGAAUUCCACGAGUUUUGUUGUUUAUCUCUUUCUGCAGGGGGUUAUCAGGAAAUAAGGAAGAAAGGCCCACAUGUCGGGAUUACAUAGAGAUAUCAACACACCGCACGAUUUUCUACCAUCUAGAAGAC
rnacentral:lncRNA from 1 species